UUUGCCUGGAUUGCUAGGGAUUGCAUUUAUUGUGAGGAAACUUCAAAAUACUUUGUUAUCAUACAAGCAAAAAAAUCAUAAACACAUUACUGCUAUAUGUUUUAUAUCAUACAAAGUUAAUAAAACUCUCUAUUCUCUUCAGUUUUCUAAAGGGAUGGCAUAGAAAACAGACGUUUUUUGCGUAGCAAAAGCAUAAAACUGAAGAUGGGAAUACUGAGUGACAGUCCUUUGUGACGCUGAGCAGCACGCCAGUGCUUAAAAUUUGGUCUUGAUCUUCAGAUGCCCUGCUCUGGCUUUCUAGGAUCUAGUCUGCACAGUUUCUAGGCUUCACUAAAGAAUUAGAAAUCUAUUGGAAAAGCAAGUUUUAAAGUCAAGCUCAACCUAAGUUGCCCCAAAUUGAAAAACUAUCAAUUAGGUUUUGUAUAUUCUUUUUAUUAACUGUGAAAUAAGGAAACUAUUAUUUCUAUAUCUUUAAUAGGAAGAUGUGAUGCUUAAUUCACUUAUAUGUUUCCAACACUUUGAAAUCUUCUGGUAGAAAAUGCUGUUAAUAUAUACAUUAUUAGAACUGUAAAUACAGAAUAUAUUCCAGCAUGUAUACAUACUAGUUGACUAUGUGCCUAAAUGUCCUAAUGAAGGCAGUAUUAGUGAAAUGGAUGUAUGUAAAUAUUUUAACAAUUGAAUUUUAAUAUGCACAUGUUUUUCCAUAACAUUUGCUCUUGCUGAACACAUUUACAGUCCUAUAAAAGAGGAUUCUUUCUCUUUUAAUUUAGAGAAACAUAUUUUUGAUCCAACUAAUAAUAAUUCAGGAAUAAGUGAAUAGAAAUAAUAAACAGAAAUAUAUAAAUCAAAAUUGUCAUUAAAUUGUUUCUGAAUUUUUGUACGCUGUGGUGCUUCCAAUAUAAUCUCAAGCUCUGCACAGACUGAGUAUGAAAGAGAAGGCAAAAGGAGUUAGAGAUACCUAGCCCACACUGAGGUAGGUUGUCUACACAGAGCUGUUACAGAAAACCGUCUUUCUCCAGAUAAGAGAAAGAAGUAUCAACACCACUUUAGAAAGGAGGAAAUGAAGGUAUCCCCAAGGUAAAUGUCUAGUUGACGCUCAAUAUGUUGUAAGUUACAUAACAGAAAAGGGAAUACUGCUUCCAUAAGGAUUUUUGAGGAUAUUCUUCAUAAACUGUUUAAAUCGCAGUUUUUAUGAUGCUGUUAUUAAAUACGUUCUUUUCUUCUGAAUUAUGCUUCAGGCUCUGAUACAUUCUUAGCUGAAGUCAGUGGGAGGACAUCUGAUCAGUUGGCUUAGUUCAGCAGGUUUUAUUUAUAAGCAUUUAUAGUAAAUACAUAAAAUAUCACUAAGGAGAGAUUUGGCAAACAAACACUAAAAAAAUAGUUACAUAAAUGAGUUCAGAAUGGUGAAUUAUAAUUUUCAUCAGAUGAAAGUAGCUUCCCAUAUAAAAUAUUUUCAAGACUUUCUCUUUGAAUCCCAGCCUCUGUCUUUACUUUUAUUUAUGGUUUCACUAAAAUGUUCAGGUAGAGAAAUACCUGCCCUCAUAAAUCAUUUGCAGAUAAUACUGGUUCAGACGCUUUGUGUCCAAAUUGAUAAUGGAUAUCUGAUUCAAAAGAAGUGUCUCAUUUCUUAAAGUUCUGUGGAGGAUGCUGGAAGAUGACAGAGCUAAAAAAAAAACCAAAAAACCCCAACCCUGCAAAACCCAACUUUUUUUUCCUUUCGUUUCUGUGAUUAUCUGAUGCUAGUUGCAGAAGUUGGCAAUGCAGUGAACUGCAUAAUCAUUCUCUGAUUUGUGUUUUUCUUUUUAGUCAAACUGCCUUGAGAAAGUAGGACUGAAAGUUUAUAUUAAGAGAUUUUUGCCAAAUUAAGGAAUACUAAACAGCAUAAAAAAACCAAAAAGGUCUUCCAGUUUGGAGCAGUGUGGAGUUCAUCCACUGCGUAUUGCUGUUAGAAACAGAAAAUGCACCUGAUUCCUCUUUUUCCAGUUAUUUAUGUGGAGAAAUUUUUUAGGGCAACUUACUAAAUUAUUUAUAAUGGUAUGUCUUUCUGCCCUUCUACCUCCCUUCCUGUGUUUACUCUUGCUGCUAUCUAUUCCCUUGCUUUUGUACUUUCAGUCUAAAUGGAUGUUGGACCAGCAAGUGUAAAUUGAGAUACCUGAUUGUCAUGGGAGAGAUUGAAUUUUGAGGAUUUUUUAACUUACCUUAUUGGCAUUUCUGUUGUGGAAGAGGUUUGGGCUGAAUUUUAACUUUGUGGUUUUCAUUUUAUUUCCUUAUUUGCCAAUAAUUUGUUUCCAAUGUACCAUCCACAGUGAUGAAGGGCUGUGCCGAGAGGGUAGUAGAACCUUUAUUGGCUAAGGAGAAGGAGGGCUGCUGGGGAGGGGGAGUGAAAGAAUCACUGGAAUAGUGUGUCAGGACUUUGGAGAACCCUGUACACCGUGGUCACGUGGUGCAUCAUGUAACACCAAAGUUAUAUAAACCGCAUCACACAAGUCUGAGUCCACACCCCCCAUCCCACAGUAAGUACCUGUCCCUUACGGAGACUCCCAUUGCCAGGUAACUGGAAUUAAAGGAUCUGUCAAGCAGAGGCACGAGUGGUGUUUGGGCUUCUGUCUGUUUUUGCAAAAAAGAUAAUCAUCUUUUCCCUGCCACUUUUGUCCACAGCGAUACAAUGCCAUGUGGCAGUAUAUUUAACAGAAGGAAAUCUGUGAUGCCAGGCUGCACGAGCUUUUCAGGACAGCCAAGGACAGGUCUAGGAUCUGGUCUGAUACUUUAAAAAUCUUUCCUGUAUUUGUGAAUUCACUGUAGAGUCUGUGUGUUAAAAUUAGAAUUGAACUUCAGUUAUGAUUUAGAUACAGUGCUUACUUAUUUUGCCUAUUUUGUCCUCCAGAGGCUCAAGCUUCUAUAGUUUUAUGCAUCUCUCAUGCAUAACAAAUUGAAAGUAUGUGUGUUGAUUUGCUGGAAAUGAGUCAUGCACUAAAAUCAUGCAGAUUCCUUUGUAUUCUUAUAACCACAAAACUCAUAUGAGCAGAGAUGAAAAGGUAGGUGGAGCUGGCAUUGAAAGAGGUGUUCUAAAUCUGAACAAGCUGUAUAAAAUAUCAUUGUCACAAAGGAAAACUGAAAAAUACAACAAAUACAACUUCAUGCAUUAGAAGCAUUUGCAUCACAGGUAAAUGUUGCCAUGUACUCUGAACUGUGCUUUCAUUUCCACAAGUCCCCUGUUGAAGAUACUCUGCGAAAUUUUCAGAAGCUCCCAUGUAUCUUAGGAGCCUGUGUCCCAAAGCUUCCUUAUGACACAGAGCUUUUUAAACUUUGACAUUGGUCUGUAAUUAGGGGUUGAGUCAAAAGUUACAUUUAAUUUAGAGAAAGGAGUAUUCCUUGAGCAAGAUCUUAAGCUGAUGUACAUCAGUGUAACACCAUUAACAUGCCUUGGCUUAGAUCUAGCUAUAGUUCUGAUUUGUACAAGCUGAUGAUUUAAUUCUGGACUCACAAAAACAGUGGUUGAGAAUAACCUUGUUGAACUACAAACUAGUGGUGUAUUGAUGAAUAGAAUGUGACACUGUUCAAAAAGGACAGUUGCAUCCUACAGUCAUGACUGUUAGGUGACAAUAACAAGACAAAUAGCGCCUGUGUGUUCCAGGCAGCAUUUUUCUCCUUUUUAUCUCUGAGUAGCUCCUUUCGAACCUCAAUCGACUUUUGAUUUGCGUAAGUGAAAAUGAGAAGGCCCGGUUGUCAUUGGUGAAAGUGCAGCAUUGUGUGUGAAUUACAGAAAAGCUCAAUUUGUUCACAUCCUUUUAGAAUUUAAGCAUAGUCUCUUAAUUUAUAAAAGCAUCCUUUUUUAUCAGAUUACCUGCAUGUUAUAGGAAAUGUUAGUUUUUUUAAGCAAUUAAAAUGAUUAUUGUUUUUAUGAUGGCUGAUGACUUUUACCAUUUGGUUAGCUCACUAAAUCUCAGUUGGAAUUAGAUUUAUGAAAUAAUGUCUCAUUUUCUGUAUCAAAUUAAAAGUCAUAUAAUUAGUUUGAAGAUGGUUUUUCCAACCUAUUUCCAUAUCAGGUGGUAUCAUUCUGUUUUCUAGGACUCAUUCUUUAUGACAAUGUUUGUUUUUCAUGGUAGAAAUAGUUUUACCAUGUAACAUUAGAAACUUUCUAAAAUUAUAGUGUGCUAUCUUGUUCAACUAUCUUUGCAAUUAUGAUACAGAUAUAUUGCAUCAGCAACUUUCUAAACAUAGUAUGCAGUGGUGACACGAGUUAAUUGAACAGUUAGGAGAUAAUGCAGUAUCAUUGACACGAUUUACUAUGUAAUUACCAUUGUUUCCAGUGGAGUUAUCAUGUCGCUACCACCUAAUAUCAUAUGUUAUUUUGUGAUAACUGUGAAAUUAACUUAUCAUCCUGUUUUGAGAGCCUAUGUUGGUCUUAGACCAACCACUCUCCACCAAAGUUAAAUACAGGAGAUCAGUAAUAGACUGACCUGCCCACCAGCUUUGGAGUGUGGCAAUUAAAUCAUAGGUCUUAUAUAAAAGCUUUGAAAGAAUAUGUUGCUAAAUUCAUUUCAGUGAGUGUCCUGAAUGGCUUAACUUCUAAAUAAGAUUUCUUGUUGCAAACAUUUAUCCAUCUGAGUGAAUCAGAAAGCGAUUUUACAACAUAAGGGAAAAUAUGAUGUAAUCCAUCAAAACACAGGAAAUAAAUUAAAAAUCAAUAUUUUUUCUAUUUCACUUUUUUGACAACAGGGGACAGGAGUGUUAACAGCAUGCGUUCUACACCUUCAGUUUCUUACUAAGUUAACCUUAUUAACUCAUUUCUUAACUUUCGUAAUUCAGUUACAAACUAUGUUUUUUGCAGUUACUAUUCAGGCCAUCUUUUGGUUGAAAUUUCAUCCAAGUGAAAACAUUCAGGCUUUUUGAGACAUUCCCAACGUAAAGGAAAUGUCAGUAAAAAGAGCUGAAGAACCUUGAUUGUCCCUUUUAAUUUAAGUAGAAAAAGAAUAUUCUGGAAAUAAAGUGUUCUCUCUUAUUUUACUUUGAUUUUUGGGGGGCAUAGGUUAUUGUGAAUACCUGUCUCUAGAUGAAAACUUUGAUAAGUAGUUCAGAAUCUAUAGCUUUCCUUCUCACUUUUUGCUUGUACAACUGAAACUGAAAAUGACAGUUAAUUUGGGUUCUGUUAUCUGCUGUACUAAUUAGAUAAAUGUUUGCAUGAACAUACGCCCUGUAUUCAUGCAUCUAAAAAUUAUCUUGAAGCAGUCAGUUUUGUGUUAAUUAGGCUCAGUCUCUUGUUUUUUUUCUUCAUUUUUUCAUUAGAAUUAAAUAUGUAGUAUGGUUUCAAUGUAAACAAAUAACUGUCCAUUUUAUUUUCUUAUUAGAGUGCUCCUUCUUGUUCCCAUAAUGUGUCUUUUUCCUCAUUGUUUCAGGAAAUGCAUUCGGGUUAACAGUCAAGAUAAAACAUUUGAGUUGUUAAACACAUAUGUAGGAGUAGCAAAAUAACCUGGAGGUUCUGGUAAAAUCUUCUGUCAUUUCUGGAAGCAAGCUUCUUGUUUGAUUUCAUGAAAUUGGUUAAAUUGUCUGCUUAUGACUAAAUCUGACUUUCUCACUACAGGACAGAUAAAAUAUGUGAGUAGUAAUUAGAAGGUCUCCAGAAUAUUGCACCCUGUUAUUAUCUGAUAUAACUUACUCUCUUGUCUUUUCAGUCAUUGAUGAUACUACUUAGUGCCAAACUCUGACUAAAAAUAUUCUCUAUUUUAUUCACUGUGAGUUUAAAAGGUGUGUUUCUUGCUUGCUCCUUACAUUGUGGGCUUGGUAAAUUUAUAUAGAAGUGUUGUGGAAUUUUAUGUAUGUCUUUCUGUAUGUGUUCCCCACUACCACUGCACCAAGCGUGCUGACAUGCUUUCUUGAUAGUACGCAAUUGCAUACUUGAGUAUAGGUUUGCUGAAUGAGCAUUGUACAGUAACAACAACCAUGCUGCUGUGUUGGAGAUUAAUAUUAAAGAAAAAAGAGAGAGCAAGAGUACCAAGGCAAGAGUACUAAAUGUCAGGAUAGAGUCAACAGCGUUUUGUGGCUAUGAAGAAAAAAAUUAUUUUAGCAGUUUUGCACUAACAUGUUAACCUUUCCUUUCUGGAUACAUUAGGUAAGAAAAAGCUUUAAGCGGACUGUAGUGCCUUUCUUCCAAAGUGCAGGAUUUUCUCUCCACAUCAGUUUUAGAUGGUAUCUGCGAUCAAAGGGACAUAUACUGUUCAUACGCUUCCUCUGUACUUCAGAACUAGAGGUGACCUGGAGGGUGUAUAAGUGCCCUUGUGUGGUUGCCUGGAAACUUUGGCCCACACAAGUGUCAACUUUCUUUCAUGGUUAUAAAGGAAGACUGAGCCUCACAGAGAGCUUUAGUCUUAGAGAAAAAAGGUCCUUGUGUGUUUUAAAACAAGUGUCUCACUAGGAGAUAAUGGUAGAGCAGUGGGUUAUAAAUGAUGUAUUUUGUUCACUUCGCCUUGAUAAUGGCACAAGGGAAAAAAAGUUCAUCGCUCUCUUAUCAAAAUACUGUGACAUUUCUCCUUCAACUGUAAAAUUUCCUAUCACAUUCCUCUGCUGCAACAGCAACUAAAUUUACUCGAUUGUAAAGACUACAUAAUCUCUCAUCAAAAGGUGUCUUUUGUAUUCUUUCUUUUCUCCCUAUUCAUAUUUUAGGAGAAUCACCAAGGUUGCUAAAAUCACUGUUUCUCCAGUGAAAUAAAUUUGCUUUUAAGGAGUUUAUAUAUUAGCUAGUAACUGCUAUACUAUGCCAUGUAGGCUGUUACUCUAUCUUGACCAAAGGCAGUAUGCCAUUUUCUUUUGUCAUAUCUUUUUAUACUGACUACAUUCUUUAUUGAUGAUGUUCUAUUUUUAAUGAAGAAAAACAUAAAUAAAGGCAAUAACUAAUGGCUAAAGACCAAAAACACUGAAAAGCAGUUGGGCUUCUUUCUUGAGUGGCAACUGAUUUUCAGUAAGUACAGAUUCCUGUUUGAUACGAGUGACAUUUUUGUUCUUACAAACAAAUAUUGCUCUAUAACAUGUACAGCUUAUGAAAGCAUAGAUGUAUAUAUUCUUCUCUGUAGAACAUGAAAGUUUGUGUUUGCCAUCUCCCCAAAGUAUGGUUCUCAAAAUACAUAUCUUUAUAGUUUGUAAGGUUACAGUUCCCUCAGAUGGAAAUGUCUGUGCAAAUGCUGCUUGGGGCCUGUUUCCUAUAUGCCUGUUCAAAGCAAACUGACGUAAAUGGAAAGUGACAUCAGUGCAUUUUGGAUAACUUACAUCUUUGUCUGAUGCAGGCUACCAAUAUACUACUACAUCUAGUAGAUUAUAUUUCAUCUGCAUGAGUUAGUGUGAAACAAAGAUACAGCCACUUAUAAAACUGUGGAAAACUGUAACCACAAGGGAUUUUUCUGUCUGCAUAACUGUAAUGACAAAAAUCAUAAAAUAAAAUGUUUACAUUCAAAGUAUAUGUCCAUUUGCAUUUUAAGACUUAGUUUUUAUUGUAAUCAUAGUAAGUGUAUUGAAAAAUCAGUAAGGAAAUUCUUAAAUUUGUAAACUAGUUCAACCAUGCAUUUUUUUCUUCCCAUUCAAAGUUUCUAUUACGGUUAUAUCAAUGAAAAUUGUAAAACCAUAGCAUAUUGCUAUAAAUAAAUUAAAUAUUAGCAAAUAUAAAUAGCAAUGGUAAAAUGCAUAGGUAAAUCUCAAGAUGGAAACACGACUGAGAGAAAAUCACAGCUUAGCGUGCAUGGAGAGGGUAGCUUACAGUCCAAACUGCAGGCACAAAAAUGUUUUGUUUCUUCUAACAGAGCAAAUAUUGAAGAACCGUUAUAAUGCUAAUAGUAUGAUUGACUCCUUAUAAUGGAUCCUGCUCAGAGUUAUAAUGUUCUCAGAAUUAAUCUCCAGAGACAUCUAGGGGAUAUAUGACAUUCCCUGCAGGACUUGGAAAUGUGUACUUCAAUAAUAGAUUUAUAAUGAUAAAUAAAAAAAAUUAAAAAAAAGUACUCUAAUUAUGUGAAACUGCCCCAAUCCCAAAUGACAGUGCAGAUAAAAUCCAUAUGUAUGUGUUACUGUAUUCUGUGUGUAUUCUAUUUCCACCAAUUGUGAUUUUUUCACAUUUUAGAAAAGAGUUUGCUAUUCACUGAAUUGUCCUUUGGAAGAAAUUAAAAGUGGAGCAAUACAGGGAUAAGAAUAUUUUAUGACAUGUAUGAUGGCAGGGUGAAACUGAGCAUAAGUGAGAUUUCAUUUGAUAUUACAUACUUCUCUUUCAUGUUCACAUGAUAGAACAAUAGAUAUUGUUAAUAUCUGAAUAGAAAGAACAUCAAUAAAUUUUAGAAGAUACAUUGUCUUUAAUCAUACUCUUUUGAAACAUAAGCUUAUGGAUGGACUGUUUGUGAAGAGUAAGACAAUGUUUUCAUAUUUUUGAAGAGAAAGAACAACCAUCUUUUGCAUUUGAGGAAUUGUAUGUUUUUAUGCAAACUGUACUUUUAUUAAUUAACAGUACAACUCAAGAAAUGCUUUUGGUUCUAAAAUUACUUUUACAUUCUUAUGAGUUGAAAUUGUAAGAUUACAUAGUAACUGAGUUUUUAUUUGAGUUGGAAAGGUUAGUGAAAGUUGUUGGCGUACCUAAGAAAUCUCCCAUUGCUUUGCACAAGUAGCCUUUGUUUUGCAGGACUAGGAUCAGUGGUGCAAUGUGUUCAAAUAUUAAUCUAUAAUUACAUGAUGAGAUCAUCUGGAAAUUUUGUACACAUGGGAUUGUGCAAAUUUACAGUGAGGAAAAGAGGCCUGCCAUAGGCCUACCAAGUUUACCUACAGCCCUAACAUAUGAGACAAAAAUCUACAAAUCAUUUUUCAUUUGAAAAUCACAAAAAAAUCUUGAAAUGAGUUUAUACUUCCUGCAAAUUGGACAAAGUAUCUUAACUUCUACAGCUGCAAUAUUUGAUUGCCAUCUCCAGGCUAUGUAGUGUGGAGGAGAAUGGGGGAAGCUCAAACAGUCGCAUUCUGGAAUAUCGAAAACAUGAGCUUUAUCACGCUUAAUAAAGACAUGUCAUAAGUGACAAAGUGCAGAAAUCUUCAAAUCAGAAGUAAAAGUUUGUGGUAGAUGUAGCAGCCUCAUAGCCUUGCUGUGUGAUGUUUCCUGAUUGUACAACAGCUACUUAAGUGAUCUUUGAUUCCAGUUGCCAAAAUUGAAACAGGGACUAAAUCUAAGUAAACUAUGACACUUGUGACAAAUCAGUGGCAUUAAACAUGGUUCAAGGAUUUGGCAGAGAACCCAAAACUCGUAAUACAAUAGAUGGCAUGUCAGAAUAGCUUUGGCUUAGCCUGCCAAAUGCAUAGCUGAAUGAGAGCAGAAAACAGGUGUCACCAAGAGGAAAGAGGUAGGUCCUUUUCAUGAACAGAUAUGCCUAGAUAUGCCUAAAUGUAGAUUGAUCAGUAUAUUGUUACACUGCAUGUAGUGAUGUUAUGUAUUUCAAGUGGUUGAGACCCCAAAAAGAAUAAUCUGUAGGGCAUUCUUACCAGGGUAUGUAUGAAGGAAACCCAUCGAUUUGGCACUGCGAGCUGCAGAAAAUAUGUUGCGUCAAUCUUUCAAAGACUAUAUAAUCUCUUCAUUUGUCUGACUGUUCAACACAAAGUGGCGAUUUAAAGAUAGAAUUUGCUUUAUUAUUUGGGUCUGGCAGUCUAACUAUUUUUAUUUGCCACUACAGCAGCUGAUGGUCCCAAGAAUAUGAAAAACAUGAGACUGUAGAAAUGCAUUUAACAGUGGAAAGCUUUUGCUUCUGGAACCUCACUUUCUAUACUGGCUCUUUAUGAAACAAAUUUCUUAGCCUUCGUAGCAAGGCAUCAAAUUUCUAUCUCUCUUUUACAAAAAUAAUUUGUUUUAGGGCUUAUAUUAUUUUUUCCAGUGAUCUGUAAAAAGUGUACAAUGGCUAGAGACUAUAUUGUGGGUAUUUUUAUGAUGAAGCAAUGAAGGAAGAUGACAAAUCUUGCCAGGUAAAAAUAAUUAUUUUUUCCUGCUAGAGCUAUAAAAUUCAUGAGUGAAUGCUAAAAAAGAUGUUUAAAUUUCAGUAAAAUAUUUGAUGAAGUCUUCUACACAAUCUUAUUCUUAAACUCAUCAAAUCUAACUGCUUGGACAUGAAAACUCCAUACAGGUUAAAAUUGGCCAUGGUACUCUAAAUACCGGGCAAUCUCUACAGUUUUUCAAAAUUGUUAUGGAGAAGCGAGUUGCUUGUUGCCAAAACUGAUUGUGAUAUUGAAGGUAGGAAUGAAGAGGAUAUUAAUGAAAAUUUGGAAGUAAUCGCAAAGGCCAUUGAAAGAAGUCAUGCAAAGAUACUUAGAAUGGCUAACUGUGAAAGGAAAAAUUACCGUGGAAAAACAUAAAAUAAUCCAUCUAGAGAAAAACUUUUGAAAAUAUUAACGUUGAAAAAGAAGAAAUUACACAUGUAUUUGUUACGGAUUUUGAGCUGAAUAAGGGGAAAGAUGAUGCUUAUUCAUAUUUGAGUUGCAUACAGUUUUACUAGAAUUUUUAGGUCUAUUUGCUGUCAAGUGGAUGCACAUGGUGAAUUGCAUUUUAAUAGCAUAUUUUUAUAUCAAACGCUAAUACAGUGGAGGACUUUAAGAAAAAAAUAACAAAAAUAAGGAAGAUAAAGAAAAGAAUUUCUAAAGGUUGUACAUACAGUGCACAGUAUAUUGACCAAGUACUGAGUGUAUUAAGUAAAAUUAGCUAUUACUUAAAUUAUUUUUCGCUAUUAUCUAUAACAGAACUCUUCAUUUCUUGAUCUCUGACAAACAAGUUAGUGGCCUACCAGCAGUGAGCACCAUUACCUUGGCCUCAGAAAAUCUUUUCACAUUAAAAAGCUGCUGAUGAACCCUACAUCUGGUACUUCACACAAGACUGAUGAUUUGCUCUGGGGCGUAAGAGUGUAUGCAGCUUUGGAGCCAUGUUCUCUAGUAUAAAAUAGUCCUAUGUGCAGAUGAAUGAAGGGGAGUUUUUAAAACUUGCCGUUUUUCUCUGCUCUGCCAGCCUAGCUCGGCAGGAAGAGAGAGAGCAGGAACAGGACACAGCCUCAAAAAUGGGAUGCAAGGAAAGUACUAGAGGAGAUAAAUUUGGAUUUGCAGCUGAGUGAACCAGGAGUCUGGAGCAUGAAAACCUUGUGAGGUUGGAGACUGGGGGUAGGUGACCUUGAACAAUGCAAAGGAAGUGUUCGUAAGGCAAAUAUUCUCACACCCUGAGGGUGGCCCAGUUGCAAGGUCUUUGGUAAUACUGGGGUAAUUAAAGUGAUGCUGAUCUCUGGUGUCCUGCUAAUCUAGGAUUCUCUGAUACUGGCUGGGUGGAAACCAGGAGAGAAGUCUGGGAAGGUGGGAUUUGAACUGAAGGAGAAGAGAAAAGAAAAAACCAGAAGAGCUUUGCAAAAGAAGGAAUGAUGCUCUGUAUAGUGGGAAGUGGGUAGGAACAUUUUGGUUUAUUGUAUAAAUAAAAGUUUGUGCUUGUAACAGUAAGGAGGUUUGAUUGUAAGAGGUGUGUUUUGUUGAGAGAAGCAACAUCAGGUGCAGUAAGAAGAGAAGGGAACAUAUAGGAAAAGGAGCCAGGAAAUGCAGGAACACACACCUCUUAUUCCUGCUUAGUGUGUGUACAAUAACAUGCAUAUAUGUGCACACACGCACACUCCCAAUGAAGAGGAGAAAAGUUACUGGGACCCCCACUAAGUUGCUCCUUUCUUCCUCUGACACUUCCUUUCAUAUGGUUGUAAUAUGGGGAUAUGGAGCUGAGGCAGGGUCAGAUAGCCCAUAUAACCCUUCUUUUCAUCCUCCUUUCUGGGUGGGGGGCCCUGGUCUCUGAUUUACAAUGUAAUCAUGUUUUCUAAUUAAUAAUGUGCAGCACAGGAGAAAGAAAAUCACUUACCAUGGAAAAAUUAUGUUAUAAAUUUAGGGGUUUCGAAGUAUGAACAUGCUGUUGUGGGAUUACAAUUUCCAUACAUUGUCUAACCCUUGAUAACUCUCCUUUAGUGUAUUUUAGAUCAUGAUAUUCAGAAUGAUUUGAUUCAGCUUAGUCCUUUGACCAACAUUAAUUUAACCAACCUAUAUUUCCCUUCUACAAGUUACAAGCAUCAAACACAUCACAUAUCAGCAUGUAGUGCCUUUAGCAAAGAGAUUUAAAACCUCAAAAAUGUCAUUGUGCACAGGAGGUGUGCAGGGUGGAUGAGAUAAAAUAAUUGGUAGCAACUCUUCUUUAUAGGUAAGCGAAGGCCAACACAGCAAUUUAAACCCUUGAGCCCUCAGGCAGAACCCAAGGAAAUGUUCUGUUAGCAAUGCCUUUUGGUAAGUGAGUAGUAUAAAUGAACUCCGGUAUGGUCUUUUUUGGUGUAAUUGUUAUGACUGUAAACAUAUGGGAAAGGAGAGAAAGCAGUAAUAUAAAAAACAUAAUGACUGGAAUUUAUUGACAUUUUUUCUUUUAAAAUAUUUCACACGUUGAAUGUUGCACAGUAAAGUGGAACAUAGGAAAUACAUCAUUGAUUAUGUUAUUGUAAAUCAUUUGCAGGUGAGAGAUAUUUUGUAUUAUUACUUGUGCAGAGUCCAACACUCAUGAGAUAAAAAGGCCAAAUUGGAAUUUCACUUGAUGGAGUCCUGCACAACAGAUACCCUCCUAUCUGGGGUUGCCAGUAAUGCAGCAGAAAUGCCAAAAUGAGAGGUAUUAGUUAGAAAACUCACAGCAGCCUGCUUUUCUGGAACUGGACAAGAUGAAUCAGACCUAGUGCAAGAGAAAAGUCAAGCUUGCAUAAAGAGGGGCUGAAGAUUGUCAGAGCCCACAAUCAUCCUAAAAUAUUCCAGAGAAAAUCAUUACAGAAUUUUGUGAAAAUCUCUUUUUUCUUGUUUUUGGAAGAACAUAGUGACUGUUAAAAUUUACUUUUGCAAAUUCAAGUCCUUCAAAAACAUGUUUGUGGAAAGAAGGAAGUGAUUGCAUAGAUUACUUCAAGACACCUCAGUUUCAGUGGAAAUUAAAAAACUACUGAGAGAAGAUUAAGUGAUAAUUGGGUGAACAUUCUUUAAGAAUACUGCAAAAUUACACUGAACCAUCACACUGAACAUGCAGGGCCUAAUCCAUAACCUGCUGAGGUCAAUUAGAAUCUUGAUAUUAAUUUUCAUAGGUAUCAGAUUAACGUCAUCUUUAUUUUGUAGAAUUAUAUUAUGAUGGCUCUUUUUUUAACCUCAGACUUCCAUGCUUCUGUCUUCACACUUUUUGUAAAUCUCCCAAUAAUACUAGUUUUAAUAUGGUGUUCAAGUUCUAUUCCUCCCUGUGAGAAAUAUAUCUAUAAUACAAAUAGAAGAUGUUAAAAGAUUAUCUGAAGGUGAUGUUCUCAUAGCCAAAAUAUUCUUUCCAAAAUUCAAGUUGUGUCUGAUGGAAAUAUUUAGUUGUUUGACUCUAAAUUAUUUAAAUAAACAUCUGGUGUUAAUAA